CCUACCUUUGAGACCGGGAUAGCCCUGAGAAAUCAGGAUUAAUACCGGAUGUGGUCACGACAAGGCAUCUUGAUGUGAACAAAGGCGCAAGCCGCUCAAAGACGGGCUCGCGGCUUAUUAGCUUGUUGGUGGGGUGAUGGCCUACCAAGGCGAUGAUGAGUAGCUGGUCUGAGAGGACGAUCAGCCACACUGGGACUGAGACACGGCCCAG
rnacentral:rRNA from 1 species